UACGGAAGGGGCGAGCGUUGUUCGGAAUCAUUGGGCGUAAAGGGCGUGUAGGUGGUUCUGUAUGUCUACCGUGAAAGCGUACGGCUCAACCGUAUUUAGUCGGUAGAAACUGCAGGACUUGAGGCUGGGAGGGGCUGGUGGAAUUCCCCGUGUAGCGGUGAAAUGCGUAGAGAUGGGGGGAGAACACUCGUGGCGAAGGCGGCCAGCUAGACCAGUUCUGACACUGAGGCGCGACAGCGUGGGGAGCAAACAGG
rnacentral:rRNA from 1 species